rnacentral:rRNA from 1 species
CUCGAUGUUUAUGGGAGGUCUAGUCUGCCCACUGAAGGAGUUAAAGGGCCGCGGUAUUUUGACCGUGCAAAGGUAGCAUAAUCAUUAGUCUUCUAAUUAAAGGCUGGAAUGAAUGGCUGGACGAGGUAUUAGCUGUCUCUUUGGGAGAGAUUUGAAUUUAACUUUCUAGUGAAAAGGCUGGGAUAGUAUUGGAGGACGAGAAGACCCUAUAGAGCUUUACAUUUACUGUUACUUUAAUUGGUUUGGUUGGAGUUAGAUUUUGUGGCAGGAGUGUUUCGUUGGGGUGACGGGGAGAAAUAAGAAACUCUUCUUGGAAUGAACCACAAAUUAGUGAUUGAUUGAUCCACUUGUAGUGAUUAGAAGACUAAGUUACCUUAGGGAUAACAGCGUAAUCUUUUUUGAGAGUUCUAAUCGACAAGAAGGGUUGCGACCUCGAUGUUGGACUAAGGAUGAUUCUUGGGUGCAGAAGUUCAAGGUUUAGGUCUGUUCGACCUUUGAAUCCUUA